rnacentral:rRNA from 1 species
UACGGGGGGAGCAAGCGUUGUUCGGAUUUACUGGGCGUAAAGGGCGCGUAGGCGGCACCGCAAGUCGACUGUGAAAUCUCCGGGCUUAACCCGGAAAGGUCAGCCGAUACUGCGGGGCUAGAGUGCAGAAGGGGCAACUGGAAUUCUCGGUGUAGAGGUGAAAUUCGUAGAUAUCGAGAGGAACAUCGGUGGCGAAGGCGGCCUUCUGGACGGUGACUGACGCUGAGACGCGAAAGCGUGGGGAGCAAACAGG